ensembl:misc_RNA Metazoa_SRP Metazoan signal recognition particle RNA
GCUGGGUAUGGUAGUGCAUGCCUGUGGUCCCAGCUACUUGGGAGGCUGAGGUGGGAGAAUCACUUGAGCCCAGAAGGUCAAGGCUGCAGUGAGCUAUAAUUGCACCACUGCACUCCUGCCUGGGCAACAGAGAAAGACCCUGUCUCAA